rnacentral:rRNA from 1 species
GACGAACGCUGGCGGCGUGCCUAACACAUGCAAGUCGAGCGGGGUUGAGGCGAGAGGUAACUCGAACUUCUACCUAGCGGCGGACGGGUGAGUAACACGUAAGCAACCUGCCCCACAGUCGGGGAUAACAGCGGGAAACUGCUGCUAAUACCGGAUAGGCAUAGCUUUUCGCCUGAAGAGCUGUGUAAAGGCUAGACUGCUGUGGGAGGGGCUUGCGGCCUAUUAGCUAGUUGGUGGGGUAACGGCCUACCAAGGCGACGAUGGGUAGCUGGUCUGAGAGGAUGGUCAGCCGGAUCGGGACUGAGACACGGCCCGGACUCCUACGGGGGGCAGCAAUCAGGGAUAUUGCGCAAUGGGGGAAACCCUGACGCAGCGACGCCGCGUGCGGGACGAAGGCCUUCGGGUCGUAAACCGCUGUUGUGGGAGACGAGUGCCCGGUGAUGAGCUGGGAGAGACGGUAUCUCACAAGGAAGCCCCGGCUAACUACGUGCCAGCAGCCGCGGU